rnacentral:rRNA from 1 species
UUCCGGUUGAUCCCGCCGGACCCGACUGCUAUCGGAGUGCGACUAAGCCAUGCGAGUCGUACGUCCCGGGCUGGCGGACGUGGCGUACGGCUCAGUAACACGUGGCCAACCUACCCUGCGGACGGCUAUAACCCCGGGAAACUGGGGCUAAUAGCCGAUAGGGGAUAGGCGCUGGAAGGCCCUAUCCCCGAAAAGGCUACACACCCAUGCCGUGUGUAGCCGCCGCAGGAUGGGGCUGCGCCCUAUCAGGUAGUAGGUGGGGUAACGGCCCACCUAGCCUAUAACCGGUACGGGCUCUGAGAGGAGGAGCCCGGAGAUGGGCACUGAGACAAGGGCCCAGGUCCUAUGGGGCGCAGCAGGCGCGAAACCUCCGCAAUGGGCGAAAGCCCGACGGGGUCAGUCCGAGUGGCUCCUGCUAAAGGAGUCUUUUGCCAGCUGUAAACAGGCUGGUGAAUAAGGGGUGGGCAAGCCUGGUGUCAGCCGCCGCGGUAAUACCAGCACCCCGAGUGGUCGGGAUGAUUAUUGGGCCUAAAGCAUCCGUAGCCGGUGUAGUAAGUCCUCCGUUAAAUCCAGCCUGCUCAACAGUGUGGCUGCGGAGGAUACUGCUACACUAGNNAGCGGGAGAGCGAAGGGUAUUCCACGGGUAAGGGUAAAAUCCUCUGAUCCCGGGAGGACCACCAGUGGCGAAGCGGUCUCGCCAGAACGCGCUCGACGGUAAGGGAUGAAAGCUGGGGGAGCAAACCGGAUUAGAUACCCGGGUAGUCCCAGCCGUAAACGAUGUAGGCUCGGUGA